UGCAGUCGACGAUGAACCGCUUUCGGGCGGGGAUUAGUGGCGAACGGGUGAGUAACAUGUGGGCAAUCUGCCCUGCACUCUGGGACAAGCCCUGGAAACGGGGUCUAAUACCGGAUAUGACCGUCUGCCGCAUGGUGGAUGGUGUAAAGCUCCGGCGGUGCAGGAUGAGCCCGCGGCCUAUCAGCUUGUUGGUGAGGUAGUGGCUCACCAAGGCGACGACGGGUAGCCGGCCUGAGAGGGCGACCGGCCACACUGGGACUGAGACACGGCCCAGACUCCUACGGGAGGCAGCAGUGGGGAAUAUUGCACAAUGGGCGAAAGCCUGAUGCAGCGACGCCGCGUGAGGGAUGACGGCCUUCGGGUUGUAAACCUCUUUCAGCAGGGAAGAAGCGAAAGUGACGGUACCUGCAGAAGAAGCGCCGGCUAACUACGUGCCAGCAGCCGCGGUAAUACGUAGGGCGCAAGCGUUGUCCGGAAAUAAUUGGGCGUAAAGAGCUCGUAGGCGGCUUGUCACGUCCGGUGGGAAAAGCCCGGGGGUUAACCCCGGGUCUGGAGUCAUACGGGCAGGUAAGAUCCGUAAGGGAAAUCGGAAUUCCGG
rnacentral:rRNA from 1 species